rnacentral:snRNA from 1 species
AAAUAUAUCUGGCAGGGGAUAUACCAUGAUCAAGAUGGUGGUUUUCCCAGGACAAGGCUUAGCCAUUGUACACUGCGGUACAGACCCCUCUGAUUUUUCAAAUAAGUGGGAACUUAAUUGCAUGAUUUCUGGUAGUGGGGAACUAUAUUCUCACUUUUCCAAA